rnacentral:rRNA from 1 species
CCUACGGGUGGCAGCAGUGAGGAAUAUUGGUCAAUGGACGAGAGUCUGAACCAGCCAAGUCGCGUGAAGGAUGACUGCCCUAUGGGUUGUAAACUUCUUUUCUAUGGGAAUAAAACAGGGUAUGCAUACCCUCAUGUAUCUACCAUCUGAAUAAGGAUCGGCUAACUCCGUGCCAGCAGCCGCGGUUAUACGGAGGAUCCGGGCGUUAACCGGAUUUUUUGGGUUUAAAGGGAGGGGAGGUGGAAUGUUAAGUCAGUUGUGAAAGUUUGCGGAUCAACCGUAGAAUUGCAGAUGAAACUGGCAGUCUUGAGUGCAGGAGAGGUAGGCGGAAUUCGCGGUGUAGCGGUGAAAUGCAUAGAUAUCACGAAGAACUCCGAGUGCGAAGGCAGCUUACUGGACUGCAACUGACGCUGAUGCUCGAAAGCGUGGGUAGCAAACAGGAUUAGAUACCCUUGUAGUC